CAGAUUGAACGCUGGCGGCAGGCCUAACACAUGCAAGUCGAACGGUAACAGGAAGCAGCUUGCUGCUUUGCUGACGAGUGGCGGACGGGUGAGUAAUGUCUGGGAAACUGCCUGAUGGAGGGGGAUAACUACUGGAAACGGUAGCUAAUACCGCAUAACGUCGCAAGACCAAAGAGGGGGACCUUCGGGCCUCUUGCCAUCGGAUGUGCCCAGAUGGGAUUAGCUAGUAGGUGGGGUAACGGCUCACCUAGGCGACGAUCCCUAGCUGGUCUGAGAGGAUGACCAGCCACACUGGAACUGAGACACGGUCCAGACUCCUACGGGAGGCAGCAGUGGGGAAUAUUGCACAAUGGGCGCAAGCCUGAUGCAGCCAUGCCGCGUGUAUGAAGAAGGCCUUCGGGUUGUAAAGUACUUUCAGCGGGGAGGAAGGGAGUAAAGUUAAUACCUUUGCUCAUUGACGUUACCCGCAGAAGAAGCACCGGCUAACUCCGUGCCAGCAGCCGCGGUAAUACGGAGGGUGCAAGCGUUAAUCGGAAUUACUGGGCGUAAAGCGCACGCAGGCGGUUUGUUAAGUCAGAUGUGAAAUCCCCGGGCUCAACCUGGGAACUGCAUCUGAUACUGGCAAGCUUGAGUCUCGUAGAGGGGGGUAGAAUUCCAGGUGUAGCGGUGAAAUGCGUAGAGAUCUGGAGGAAUACCGGUGGCGAAGGCGGCCCCCUGGACGAAGACUGACGCUCAGGUGCGAAAGCGUGGGGAGCAAACAGGAUUAGAUACCCCUGGUAGUCCACGCCGUAAACGAUGUCGACUUGGAGGUUGUGCCCUUGAGGCGUGGCUUCCGGAGCUAACGCGUUAAGUCGACCGCCUGGGGAGUACGGCCGCAAGGUUAAAACUCAAAUGAAUUGACGGGGGCCCGCACAAGCGGUGGAGCAUGUGGUUUAAUUCGAUGCAACGCGAAGAACCUUACCUGGUCUUGACAUCCACGGAAGUUUUCAGAGAUGAGAAUGUGCCUUCGGGAACCGUGAGACAGGUGCUGCAUGGCUGUCGUCAGCUCGUGUUGUGAAAUGUUGGGUUAAGUCCCGCAACGAGCGCAACCCUUAUCCUUUGUUGCCAGCGGUCCGGCCGGGAACUCAAAGGAGACUGCCAGUGAUAAACUGGAGGAAGGUGGGGAUGACGUCAAGUCAUCAUGGCCCUUACGACCAGGGCUACACACGUGCUACAAUGGCGCAUACAAAGAGAAGCGACCUCGCGAGAGCAAGCGGACCUCAUAAAGUGCGUCGUAGUCCGGAUUGGAGUCUGCAACUCGACUCCAUGAAGUCGGAAUCGCUAGUAAUCGUGGAUCAGAAUGCCACGGUGAAUACGUUCCCGGGCCUUGUACACACCGCCCGUCACACCAUGGGAGUGGGUUGCAAAAGAAGUAGGUAGCUUAACCUUCGGGAGGGCGCUUACCACUUUGUGAUUCAUGA
rnacentral:rRNA from 1 species